rnacentral:rRNA from 1 species
AACGAACGCUGGCGGCAUGCCUAACACAUGCAAGUCGAACGAAGGCUUCGGCCUUAGUGGCGCACGGGUGCGUAACGCGUGGGAAUCUGCCCUUGGGUUCGGAAUAACUCAGAGAAAUUUGAGCUAAUACCGGAUGAUGACGUAAGUCCAAAGAUUUAUCGCCCAAGGAUGAGCCCGCGUAAGAUUAGCUAGUUGGUGGGGUAAAGGCCUACCAAGGCGACGAUCUUUAGCUGGUCUGAGAGGAUGAUCAGCCACACUGGGACUGAGACACGGCCCAGACUCCUACGGGAGGCAGCAGUGGGGAAUAUUGGACAAUGGGCGAAAGCCUGAUCCAGCAAUGCCGCGUGAGUGAUGAAGGCCUUAGGGUCGUAAAGCUCUUUUACCAGGGAUGAUAAUGACAGUACCUGGAGAAUAAGCUCCGGCUAACUCCGUG